rnacentral:rRNA from 1 species
UACGAAGGGGGCGAGCGUUAUUCGGAAUCACUGGGCGUAAAGCGUGCGAAGGCGGUCUUGUAAGUUAGGAGUGAAAGCCCAGGGCUUAACCUUGGAAUUGCUCUUAAAACUGCAAGGCUAGAAUCUCGGAGAGGAUAGCGGAAUUUCCAGUGUAGCAGUGAAAUGCGUAGAUAUUGGAAGGAACACCAGUGGCGUAAGCGGCUAUCUGGACGAGUAUUGACGCUGAGGCACGAAAGCGUGGGGAUCAAAC